AUGGCCGAACCUGUGCUUGCUUCUUUGAUCCAUGGCUUAGGCUCCCUGCUUAGCAGCAGAGCAACCGACCAUGGCCGGCGCCUCUGGGCCGUAUGUCGUGAUGUCGGAUGGCUCCGCGAUGAGCUCCACAGCAUGCAGCUCUUCCUUCACGAGAUGGAGGUUUGCAGCAUUGAGGGCAGCGUCGCCAGAGAAGCAUGGAUCGACCAGAUGAGGGACAUCAUGUCCGACUUGGAGGACGCCAUCGACAUCUUCGACGCCAGGCAAGUACAAGGCUGCUGUGUUCUUGGUAAGCUGAGAUCAAGGCAUGAUGUCGGGGCUCGGAUCAGGCGUAUCCGGGCUCAGCUGAGUGACAUCUCCCGUCGCCGACUGGAGUAUGCAGUUGAAAGACCUAGAGAGUCAAGUGAUAAGUGGAUCCAUGGUCUUUUAGCCUCAUCUCCGAUGGUUCAUGACAUAGAUGUUGUAGGCCUGGAUAAAUAUCUGGAUGUGUUGCUUCGGCAUAUCUUGGAUGGAGGCUCAGAGUCGGAGCUAAGUGUCAUAUCCUUGGUUGGCAUGGGAGGUGUUGGGAAGACCACACUUGCCAAGAAGGUGUACACCAACCCGGACGUGAAGAAGCAUUUCGAAUGCUGCGCGUGGAUCUACGUGUCGAAAACGAUGGAGCUGCGCUCUAUCCUCUGUGAGAUGGUCAAGGGGCUGAUGAGGAUCCCCUCUGCAGAGGCGAGCUCCCUCUGUGAGAAGCAGCUCCAAGAAUUGCUCUUGAGUGGCCUUGGCUGUAAAAAGUUUCUGCUUGUGUUUGAUGAUGUCUGGGACAGAGGGUUGUGGGAUAUCAUCAAGCUAGUACUGCCCAGAAAUUGCAGCGGGAGCCGAGUGCUUGUGACGACUCGGAAUGCCGCUGUGUCUGGCUCAGUUGAAGGUGCAAAGAGCACUGUACAGCAGCUUCAGCCAUUGCCAUUUGAAGAUUCCUGGAACUUGUUUUGCAAAAAGGCAUUCUUGCAGGAUGGAAUAUGCCCGGACGCUGUAAAGGAAACUGCUGAGGACAUUGUGAAGAAAUGUGUUGGUUUGCCUCUUGCUAUUGUUGCUGCAGGGAGUAUGAUGUCCGGGAAAGAACAAACAGAUACUGAGUGGAAAAGUGUCCUGGCAAUCAUUCAGAAGGAUCUAAGCAAUGGUCAAAUGGGAAUUCAGCAGACACUGCUAUCAAGUUAUAGGGACCUCCCACACCCAUUGAAGCCAUGUUUUAUGCUGCUCUCUGUAAUCCCAUAUAAGUCACAGAUCUCCCGAAAGAAAUUAGUUCGGUUAUGGAUUGCUGAAGGGUUUGUGAAAGAAAAGGCUGAUGAGGCACUUGAAAUUACUGCAGAGAAGUACCUCAUGGAGCUGAUCAACAAAAGCAUGGAAGAAGUGGCAACGGCAAGCAUCAGUGGGAGAGUAAAAGCAUGCAGAGUUCAUGCUCUUCUUCAUGAUCUUGCCAUUUGGCUGUCUGAAAAUGAGAAAUUUUCCAUCAUCUGUGCUGAUAAAGGCCCAAGUGUUAGUGAUCGGCGCGUAUCACUGCAAAUGCCUCAUGUAUCAUUCAGCAAUGAACGCAAGAAAAGAUUGCGAUCUGUUUUCAUGUUCAAUGACAGUGCACCAACUGCAAUUAAAUGCAAUGUUAUUUCAAGGAGCUUUGGUCUGGUAAGAAUUCAGGAUUUUGAAGAUGGUAACAUGCUAGAACUUCCAAAAGAGAUCGGAGGCUUAGUUCACUUGAGGUACCUUGGACUAAGGGGAACGAAGUUGAAGAAGCUCCCAAGAACAAUGAAUAAGCUCUAUCACUUGCAAACUCUUGAUAUCAGGAAGACUCAGAUGAAGAGAAUCACGUUUCAAAUCAAAUGUUUAAGAAAUCUACGACAUCUAGAGAUGAAACAAGAUGACCAAUGCAUCCAGACCCCGAUAGGAUUUAAUCAGCUUGACAAACUCCAGAUAUUAACUGGGUUGCAAGCAAGCACAGCCGUGGUUUGUGAGAUUGCAAGCCUUACCCAGCUGAAGAAGCUUUCGAUAGAGGAUUUAGAAAAUGAAGAUGCCAAAGAGCUAUGCUCUUCUGUGAACAAUAUGAAGGAACCAUCAUACCUAUCCAUCUUCCCUAGCGAUGGCACCAGGCCACUUGACCUUGCAAUGUUGGAACCUUCUUCAUGUCUACAGAAGCUGCAUCUAGCUGGAUCUUUGCAGACAUUGCCAAAUUGGUUUGCUCAACUACACAACCUUACAAAGCUGCGCUUGAGCUUCUCACAGCUGGAAGAUGACCCGCUUUCAGUUCUUGUUCGAUUGCCAAAUCUGCUGUUCCUCCAGCUGAACAAUGCAUACAAGGGGAAAGUAAUGAGAUGCUGCCGUUCCGGUUUUCUAAAGAUGAAAAUCUUCAUCAUAACUGAACUUGAGGAACUGGAGCGGUGGGAUGUUGUUGAUGGAGCAAUGCCAUGUGUUCAAGAAGUGUGGAUCAUGUCAUGUGCAAAGCUGGCAGCUAUUCCUGCUGGGUUCCAGUCACUUGCUACAUUGCAGAGGUUGAGAUUGGUGGGCAUGCCAAGCUCCUUUCUUGGUAAAUUGGGGGAUAGUGGGGACGAUUUUAUAAGGGUCAAACAUAUUCCAUCUAUCCAGAUCAUUCAACAGUUUGGGCAUCCCUAA
rnacentral:rRNA from 1 species